rnacentral:rRNA from 1 species
AUUGAACGCUGGCGGCAUGCCUAACACAUGCAAGUCGAGCGAGCGGCGGACGGGUGAGUAAUGUAUGGGGACUGCCCGAUAGAGGGGGGUAACUACUGGAAACGGGAGCUAAUACCCCAUAUUAUCGGAUAACCCAUAUGGGAUUAGCUAGUAGGUGAGGUAAUGGCUCACCUAGGCAACGAUCCCUAGCUGGUCUGAGAGGAUGAUCAGCCACACUGGGACUGAGACACGGCCCAGACUCCUACGGAGGCAGCAGUGGGGAAUUUUGGACAAUGGGGGAAACCCUGAUCCAGCCAUCCCGCGUGUAUGAUGAAGGCCUUCGGGUUGUAAAGUACUUUUGGUAGAGAAGCGGUAUCUGCAGAAUAAGCACCGGCUAACUACGUGCCAGCAGCCGCGGUAAUAC